rnacentral:rRNA from 1 species
CGUGGGGGACGAGGUUUGUGGAUUGUAAACCCCUUUUGAUUGGGAAGAAGUUCUGACGGUACCAAUCGAAUCAGCAUCGGCUAACUCCGUGCCAGCAGCCGCGGUAAUACGGAGGAUGCAAGCGUUAUCCGGAAUUAUUGGGCGUAAAGCGUCCGUAGGUGGUUGGUCAAGUCAGUUGUUAAAGCGUGGGGCUUAACCCCAUAAAGGCAAAUGAAACUGACUAGCUAGAGUGCGAUAGGGGCAAGGGGAAUUUCCAGUGUAGCGGUGAAAUGCGUAGAUAUUGGAAAGAACACCGGUGGCGAAAGCGCCUUGCUGGGUCUGCACUGACACUGAGGGACGAAAGCUAGGGGAGCGAAAGGGAUUAGAUACCCCCCGUAAACGAUGGAUACUAGGCGUU